UAUUUUGGGGUUGUUUUGCUCGGUUCGGUGAGCGAUCGUACUGUAGCGCUGUAACUUAUUCAAACUUAUAUUUUUACAAGCAAACAGACUUAAAACCAAGCCAAAACAUGCUGCCAAGCAGUUGUACAUGUAGACGAGAGCGACAAACGAUUCGUUGAAUGAAGUUGUUGCGGGUGCACGACGACCGUUCUGACAUUCUCCCCCACUCAAAUUGUCGA
rnacentral:lncRNA from 1 species